AAGAUGAAGUCCUCAGCUGCCACCAAAUGUCUAUUCAGCCCUUUGAGUCUCCUUUGGGUACAGAAGAGCUGAGUCCCUGCUCUAGGUUCCUGGGAUCUAAGUGAAUCUCACCAGACGCUAGAGCCUCUGGACCGCUACAAAUGGGCUGGUGAUCUGCUUUUGCUGAACUCUACUGAUAAUUCCUGGAAACUGUUUCUGUUUUCCCUUUUCUUAGUUUAUUUCCUUCAGUAACAUCUUCAGAAGGACAUGACUUUGAGUCUCUCCUCAGAUCCUACAGAACUGGAACCGUAGAUGGCUGAGCCGUGGGUGCUGGAAACUGAACCCAGGCCUCUGGAAGAACAGCUGCCUUUAAACUGUGAGCCAGCCCUCCAGGCCCUAGACAGAGCAUUUUAAGGCUCUGUGACGGGGUGAAAGCCGCAGUGACUACAUCACCCAAGCUGCACCAUUUCCUGCCAGCUCGCCCCGCCUCCCGCACCCUCCCCCUCCACAGGCCCCGCCCUUUGCUCCACGUGUAUUUUUGACCCGCCCACUCGCUCCUCUUAUCGGCGUCCUUCUGCACACGGGAUUUCCGGUCCUCCUCUCGCGACAUCUUCCCGGUGGCGUGGCCAGCUGAGGCAACUGUGAGGGAUCCCGGGGCGGGCGGAGCUGACGGCUGAGCUUGUGCCUCCGCUUGUCAGAUCCGGAGCGAUGGAGUACAUGACAGAACCCGCCGACCGCAGCCCGGGACACAUCUUGUGCUGUGAGUGUGGCGUUCCAAUUAGUCCAAAUCCUGCCAAUGUGUGUGUGGCCUGUUUACGAAGUAAAGUUGACAUCAGCCAAGGUGUUCCAAAGCAGGUCUCCAUUUCUUUCUGCAAGCAGUGCCAAAGAUACUUUCAGCCGCCAGCAUCGUGGAUACAGUGUGCUUUAGAGUCCAGGGAGCUUCUUGCUUUGUGCUUGAAAAAAAUUAAAGCAUCUCUAAGUAAGGUUCGCCUUGUCGAUGCAUGCUUUGUUUGGACUGAGCCCCAUUCCAAGAGGCUUAAAGUUAAAUUGACAAUUCAGAAAGAGGUGAUGAAUGGUGCUAUCCUUCAGCAAGUGUUUGUGGUGGACUAUGUUGUUCAGUCCCAAAUGUGUGGAGACUGCCAUAGAGUAGAAGCUAAGGAUUUCUGGAAGGCCGUGAUUCAAGUCAGGCAGAAGACUCUUCACAAGAAAACGUUCUACUAUCUGGAGCAGUUGAUUCUGAAAUAUGGAAUGCAUCAGAAUACACUGCGUAUCAAAGAGAUUCAUGAUGGUUUGGAUUUCUACUAUUCUUCAAAACAACAUGCUCAGAAGAUGGUGGAGUUUCUUCAGGGUGUGGUUCCCUGCAGAUACAAAGCAUCACAAAGAUUGAUCUCCCAAGAUAUCCAUAGUAACACAUACAAUUACAAGAGCACUUUUUCUGUUGAAAUUGUUCCAAUAUGCAAGGAUAAUGUUGUCUGCCUAUCACCAAAACUGGCGCAGAGUCUUGGAAAUAUGAGCCAGAUAUGUAUUUGUAUUCGAGUAACUAGUGCCAUCCAUCUCAUAGACCCGAACACCCUACAAGUUGCUGAUAUUGAUGGAAACACGUUCUGGAGCCACCCUUUCAAUAGUUUAUGCCACCCUAAACAACUCGAAGAGUUUAUUGUGAUGGAAUGCAGCAUAGUCCGAGAUCUGAAACGAAGUGCCGGGGCUGGAGUCCUAUCAAAAAAACACACCCUUGGGGAGGUCUGGAUCCAGAAGACAUCUGAAAUGGACACAGAUAAACAGUAUUUUUGUCGGACUCACUUGGGACAUCUUUUAAAUCCUGGAGACCUGGUGCUGGGAUUUGAUUUGGCCAACUGUAACUUAAAUGAUGAGCAUGUUAACAAAAUGAAGUCAGAUAGAGUUCCAGAUGUGGUGUUAAUUAAGAAGAGCUAUGACCGUACCAAACGCCAGCGCCGUAGAAACUGGAAGCUGAAAGAGCUUGCGAGGGACAGAGAAGACAUGGACACAGAUGAUGAAAGGCAAUAUCAAGAUUUCCUUGAAGAUCUUGAAGAAGAUGAGGCAAUUAGAAAAAAUGUCAACAUUUACAGAGACUCCACCAUCCCUGUGGAGAGUGACACGGACGAUGAAGGAGCCCCUCGAAUUAGUCUGGCUGAGAUGAUUGAAGACCUUCAUAUUUCCCAAGAUGCCACUGGUGAAGAAGGUGCAUCAAUGAUGUCAUGAUGAGCCAUGAAGUCUGAUGAGCAAGGAAGAAGAUGAGGGAGAGUUGCUUCUGCAAUUGAGAUGUUCAGCAGAGUCAAGCUAAUAUCUUGCCAGAGUCUGGGGACUCCAGGGCGUGCUUCCUUAGUUGGUGUGAGUCAAGGUCUUAAUUUUAAUCAAUUUAUUCAUGUUGACUUCUAUCCUUCGAUUGCUUGGUAUUCAGUUGUUGUUCUUGUUGCUUUUACCUAGCUUUCUAGUUCUGUUACUUCUAGCCCAAAGAUAUUUUUAAAAAUAACAUUUACCCAUAAUUUCAGACUUACAGAAAGGUACGAGAAUAGUUUAGAGAUUUCAUGGUUAACCUUAACCCAGAUUUGGCAAGUGAAACAUUUAUCUUGCUGGCUUUCUCUUUCCUUUCCUUCUCACUAGUUUUUAAUUCCACCAUUUCAGAGAAUGGCUGGCCUUGGAGAGAGUGCUGGCUUAGCAUGGUCAAACCCUGGGUUGAAUGCCCAGCACCUCUACACCUCUCUACCACCACCCUCCGCCCCACCAAAAAAAGAGAAGGGUGAUGCUUUUUUUAGCGUUCGGCAUGCCCAGCCAGCACUCAGGUGCUAUGUGUGACCCAGGAUAGCUGUGUGGCCCAACAUUGUGUCAUGUGUUUAAAGGUUGGACACGCCUGUCAGAGAUGAUUUUUCACUCUAAAAGCAAGAAAUUAUUUAAUAAUAAUUAGUGUGUCAUUCAUAAAUUAAUAAAAUUCUAAACUUUUACCCAAUCGGUAGAAUGCUGAGGUCUUGCCAUUUGUCUCAGUAAAGUCCUUUGCAGAAGUGUCCAUGUAAGAGUCUGUGUUACAUUAGCAUCUCAUGCCUCUCUGAGCUGGACCAGUCCUUAAGAGUAUGUUUUAUUUAAAGGGUACACGGCAGUUAUUUGUAGAAUAACUGCAGGUUAUUUUUUUUCUUUUUCUUUUCCUGUGCCUAGAUUUAGGUUAUGUCAUUUUGGGGGUUGCUCGAAAGGGAUGUCAAACCUGGUGUGUUAUCCUAGCAUACAUGUGCGGCCCGUGAGUCCAGAUGCUCCCAAACCUGGUGCAUUAUCCUAGCAUGCAUGUGCUGCCCGUGAGUCCAGAUGCUCCCAAACCUGGCAUUGUUUUUUUGGCUUCCUGUUCUGAGAAUGAGCUCUCAUUCCAUGUAUUUCUUUAUUCCUUUUUUAAAAAUACAUAUGUCUUUGUAGACUAUAUUUUUUUUCUCCUCUUUGAAUCUAGUAUGAUUUAAUUGUGUACAAUCUACCACCGAGCUAUAACCACAGGUUCCCAUUACUCCCAACUUACAGUUCUUUAUUAAGGUAAAAAUUUUACUUGUUCUUUAAAAGUUCAUUUUCUACAUGUAGACAGAAUCACUCUUUGAUGUGUAGUUCUGAAGUUUUAUAUAUGUAGUGUUACGAGCUGGGGGACUUCAGCUCCAGGUUCUUUUCGAGUAGUAUCUAUGAGGACUCUGUGCCCUUCUCCCCAGAGAGCGAUGAGUGACCAGAGCAAGCAAGAGAAUUGAUUUUAUGAUGAUUCUUUACUAGCAACUUCAAUAUCCAAUACAUCAAUGGGGGUUACAAUCUCAGUAGGCAUGGGGGAUUGAUAAUGGGCAACACACAGGCAAUUCAAUAUCACAAUUAUCAAUCCUACUAAACCUAAUACAUAAAACCAAUUCAUAACCUUAAUCUAACUUAUCACUUAUUCAUAAAACACUUCUUAACCUUAAUACAACUUAGCCAUUACUUAUCUAUAACCUUAAUACAACUUAUCCAUUAAUUAUCUAUAACCUUAAUACAACUUAUCCAUUAAUUAUCUAUAAAACACCCCUUAACCUUAGCUUAUCCAUUAUUUCCUAAUCUGAUCAAUUAUCCAUAAAAUAUCUCUUAACAUUUCACACAUUAACAUAUGUAUUAACCCAUCUAUGCACUUCUCUUAACAUCUCAUACACACAUGAAAUAGCAUCAUACGACCUGAUAUUCCCUGGCUUAAAAAGGGCUUUUUGAAUUUCUUCAGGCUGGGCUCUUGUCCGCACUGGGGGCUGGGUAGCGAAGAUCGACUCUUGACCCCGUAGUCUGCACUUGGGAGAUAAGGUCCUGAUGUUCCAGGCUGGUAUCUGGUAGUGCCUUGGACUCUGCUUUCGGGUGACCGAGUCCCGGGAGACAAGGCUUUUAGUUCUCUACUCUUGAAGAUGAAGCUUUGCUCUCGGGAUGGCAAAGCGUUCUGUCUGCUCAAAAGACGAAGCUUUGCUUUCGGGAUGGCAAAGCAUUCUGAAAGGCAGAGUAUCUAGUCUGUUCUCGGGAGACAGACCUUCAAUGUCCACUCUCAUGGAAUGAGGAUUUGCUUUCGGGAUGCAAGGUGUUAAAUGUCUGUUUUCGGGAGACAAAGCUCUGUGCUCGGGAGACAGAGCAUUAAAUGUUUAGGCAAGGCAUUCAAUAUUGCUGCUUUUCGGGAAGCAGGCUAGGAGGAUCUCUCUUUCCACGGAGGCCUGGUGCCAGAGCCAUUGUGAGAAGUGAGAUAACCACCCUGCUUCAGCCACCUCUUUUAUGCCAGUUCAAAAUUGCCCCUCGUUUGAUCCUUCUGAUAACCAGGUGUCCUAGGUUAUCAGUAUCGACUGGCCACAGAAGGGUGGGGGAACCUCUUGUGUGGCAAGAUUAUUUCGUUACCACGGUUUCUGGGUGCAGCCCCCCACAUCUGGCAGGGCCAAAUGGGUGUGGCAGCCUUCAAACGGGCAAAUGCUCUCCCAAUAUUUCACCUUAGUAAUUUUCCAUACCCCACACAAGAAGAAAUGCUUUUACAUUACACCAAGUUACAUUCAUUCUUAUUCUAUAAAUUUCCUGCUCUAGCUACACUACAGAUUCCCCUUUAUUUAUUCAUUCAGAGGAAUCUGCUUCCAUGCUCAUUACAUGUAGAUUAUGUAAUCACAAUCAAAGUACAUACAAAGUCAGCAUACACACACACACACGCAUACUCAUGCACGCAUGCGCUAAAAGUCCCCUCACUCUGUUUCUAAACCGUACCUGUAUUCCCUCGAUAAUAUCUAAUCUGAACUUAGUUUGUUUCUCUUAAGGUAAAUGAGUGACAUCACACAGUGUGUGUGUCUGUGUGUAUAUAUUCAUUUUAGUUUCUCAAGUUAUUUAUGUCCAGAAUUUCCUUUUAUUUCUGCUAUUGCACUGUAUGGAUGUAUAUUUAUCUAUUCCUUUGUCGAGGCACAUUUGGUUUUAGCUUUAGAUUCUUAAAUGAACUGCUAUGAACAUUUCAGGGUUUUUUUUUUGGUGGUUGUUGUUUAUUUUUUCAUUUUGCCUUAAUAAAGAACUAGGAGUUGGGAGUAAGGGGAAUUUGGUUCAGUGGUAGAAUACUUGGUUAGCAUGUGUGAGGACCUGGCUUUGAUUCCAAGCACUAGGAAAAAAACAAAAACAAUAGCAAGUAAGAAUGGGAUUGUUACAGUGUAUAGUGAAUGUAUGUUUAUCAAAGUCUGCCAAGCUUUACCAAAGUGGCUGCGCCAUUGAGAUCUCAGACCAGCAGUGGAUGAGAACUUCAUUACCCUGAUACUUGUCAGUGUUUUUAACAUGGCAGAUGAUUGGUGGUAUCUUUUGUGACUUUUUUUUUUUUUUUGAGUGUAUAUCUGAUCCAGGCCUGUGUACUUUAGGCAAGUAGUCCAGCAUUGAGCUGUAUCUCCAGCCCUCUUUUUGUGAUUUUUAUAGGCAUUUUCAUAAUAUCUUUUCAUGUGCUAGUUAAUUUGUGUGUCUUCCUGGAUUAAAUGGCUAUUUCAAAUCUUUGCAGCCUUUCUUCUUUCUUUUUUUGAGAUAGAACAUUUCUCCCUUGCCUUUCCUCUCCAAACCUUCUCAUAUACUCUCCCUACUCUCCUUCAAAUACAUAACUUUGUUUUCUGUUAAUUGUUACUGUAUUAUUCCUAAGUACAGCCGGCUCUGUCCAUAUAAUGUUACCUGUAUGUAUGUUUUCAGGGUGGCUUGGUGUGUUUUCCCUGGGGAAUACCAUGUCUCCGGCUCUCAGUUUUACUCAGUUGCCUGUAGUUCCUUUUGUCUUUUUUUUUAAAAACUGUUUUCUUAUCGUAGUGAAAAGCACUAUGAAGAAUAUUAUAGACUGGGCUACAUCAACUCUAUAACCUUGAUGCUUCUGGAGGCUAGAGAGUCAAAUUUAGGGUUCCAUUAUGGUCAGGCUCUGGGGAAGUCCUUUUAGUUUUGCAAAAACCCUGAGUCCUUACAGGUACAGAGCAACCCUCUCUGUGUCACCUCCUUGGAGUACUAUCCCCUUGGUAAGGGUGCUACUCUCACUGUCUAUUUACUUCCCUAAGGCCUCAUGUAAUCAUUAACAUUAGGAUUAGAUUUUAUCAUGUAAAUUUGGGGAACAUAUAUUCAGCCCAUAGCAGGUUUGUUGCUCUUAUUUCUGAGCAGUUAAUUUUUAAAGUUAAUACUGAGAUACCAGAGCCCACCAGCUGAUGUCUCCUCAAGUUAGAUUCUGUCUUUGACAUCUUUUGGUCUUCUGAAACUAAGUGUCUGAAGCUACGAUAAUGCAGUAUGUUUCCAAACAAUGGAAAUGUUUUCCUACCUUUUGUUUUUAAGUGAUGUUUUAAGUGAUUAGGCAGUAGUUGUAGGGUUAGUUCAAAUGUCCACCAGGUGGCACUAAUGCCUGACUAAUACUGAAAGGCCUGAGCCCAGUCUUCAGGAAACAGCAGCUGAGGCUCUGGAGGUGGGGUGGAGACUUUGCUGUGGUAGCAGCACUCACUGUGUCUCUCUGAGGUGGGGAUCAGGACAUAAUCAGUUUGCUAGGCUGAGGUUUGAACUGUGAGGCGUUUUAGAUUUUUUUUUUCUUAGUGACUUAUGGGUUAUGAUUUAAAGCUAGGCUUGGAAGAAUAAAUUUAAUGUGUAGGUUUUCCCAUUUAACUUUGUGUUUCAAUGCAUAUAAAUCCUACAGGUUCAUAGAAAAAUUAGAAAUGUACAUUUUAUUGCUUAAUUUCAUAUGUGGAAUUGAUGAUGAUCAGUAUUGCUUACCUUAUUUACUAGACUGACCUAUAAGGCCUCUUUCAUCAUGGGAAAGGAUCAUAAAGACGGGUCUUGAAAAGAUAAGUUCAUUAUGAAAAAUGUUUAAGGAUCAUAACCUUCAACCUCCUGGAUGCCAAAUAAUAGUCAAAAUGCCUUGGAGCCUGGCUGUCUGUGUGAUUGCCCUAGAAAGGUUUCCCACCAACUCCCACACCCUCCUAACUAGUUCGUCGUCUUUAUUACCGGUGCACUGAGACAGGCACUUAUGGGAAAUAAAUCUCCAAAUAAAUCUGCUGUUUGCCUGCA